rnacentral:misc_RNA from 1 species
CGUUGGUUCGCUGCAGUCAGUUUACUUUCGCGCUUUUAACUUGUCUCUAUUUCAGUUGAGUCGGUUGUAGAUCUCAGGACAACUCACAAGUCUAUGUUCGUUGGGGAAAGAAUUCGUGGAACAAGUAAUGAUUUUGUAAAUCACACUUGAAUAGUCAACAUUAUUUCUGCCCCUCAAUUGGAUUGAAAGGAAUAGGGGUCAAAGCUUGUUCCUACUAUUUUAUUGCAUUUUUGAUUGAAUAACCCAUCUGGGAAUUUGAAUUCAAACACAUCAUGGCACCCACCAAACCUUCAGGCAUUACUCAGAUGGUAACAAGAAUGAGGGCUGCUGCGAACCCCAGAGCUACUGCGAAUCCAUCUAAAGCUGUAGCUGAAAACAACAGCCUCGUCAACAAGAAGAGGAAAGCUGAGACGGUCUUGACUUCAGAUAACAAGAAGCGUUCAGCUUUGGGAGACCUUACUAAUGCUAACAGCAAACUUCAAGAUGCCAAGAAAGCUGCCAAGGCAGCAAAGGUCUCAUCUCUUACUAAUAGCACUAAUCUUGCUAGGCCUCAAUUGUCACGCCCUUCAACUAAAGCACUUACCUUGAAUGUAGUCAAAGAGGAUGUUAAAGUACCUGAGCAGAUUGAUUCAGAGGCAACUAUUUACUUCUCUCCUGAGAAUGCCAAGCCAAAGAGGAAGCUUCCUCCCAAUGUUGAAGAUUUUGACAGUGAGUGUGGAACUGAUCCUUUCCAGACACCUCAGUAUGCCCAAGAUAUCUUCCUUUACUUUAAGCAACGCGAGUUGAAAUUUAUUCCUCGUCGUUACAUGGACCAGCAGACAGAGCUAACUUGCGACAUGCGAGCAGUUUUGGUCGACUGGCUGGUGGAAGUGCAAGAAAGUUUCGAACUCAAUCACGAAACUCUUUAUUCUGCUGUGCGUCUCGUUGAUCUCUACCUCUCUCACACUACCGUCAAUAAGGAAAAUCUCCAGUUAGUCGGAACCACUGCCAUGCUUAUUAGCUCAAAAUUUGAAGAACGUUGCCCACCAUGUGUCGAUGAUUUCCUCUACAUUUGUGAUGAUGCCUACACCCGUAGAGAUCUUAUCAAGAUGGAGAUGAGCAUUCUCAAAGCAGUCGAUUUCGAUAUUGGCCUCCCAUUGUCCUACAGUUUCCUUCGUCGCUACGCUAGAGUAAGCAAGGCUAGCAUGGAGACUUUAACACUGGCACGUUUCAUCCUCGAAACAUCACUGAUGGAGUAUGACUUGAUAAACGUCAAGGACUCCCUUAUGGCCGCUUCCGCCCUUAUGAUGGCCUUCCAGAUGCAGAACUCUGGUGAAUGGACGCCGACACUGGAGUACUAUAGCAGUUUUACUAAGGCAGAACUUCGCGAAACAACCUGCCGCCUACAUGCUAUGCUGAUCAAGCUGCAGUCAAAAAAUCUUAAGACCAUCCGUAAUAAGUACUCUCACAAAGUCUUUUAUGAAGUUGCCAAGAUUGCUCUUCCUGCUGAAAUGGAAUUUUAAAAUUCGUGACUUGCUCAUAUAAGAAACUGCCAUCGCGCGACUCUUGGAUUUCCUUGAUUUUUUUUUUUUCGAUUUGGCGUCAUUGUUAUUUCCUGAAAUUUAUUGAUUCCUGUGCUUACAUUCAUUUGUCUUUCCUUUUCUGUUCUUCUUCUACCUUUUCUGUCUGUCAUCUGUCAAUCUAAUUUUUUUACACGAUUCCAACUACCAACCAAUGACGAGUAGCGUAUUCCAAAAAACUUAAAUAAGAAAAGAUCUUGAUUAAAUUUCCUACUACUAGAUAAGAAAAUUGAAUAGUCCCAACCGUACACAUGCAUAUACACACACACCGUACACGAGCACACAGUCCUCUGUAAUUCAUCCCCCCUCCCUCCAAAUACACUGGAACGUUGGAGAAAGAA